ACCCCCAUCUUCACUUUGCCACCUGGAGCCUGUAUGUCCUCAGUGGUCAUUCAUGUGGGGGAGAAUAGCUCGUCCUCAGGCAUCCCGGUCCAAAGCUGGUGUUUGGGCUUCGGGUUGUUUUGAGGAGACAUCA
ensembl:snoRNA SNORA27 small nucleolar RNA, H/ACA box 27